GGCUAGGUAGGUUUGUUGGUAAAGCACUUGUCUAGCGAAUAAGGGUCGUGAGUUCAAAUCUCACCUGAGCUG
rnacentral:tRNA from 1 species